UACGUAGGGUCCGAGCGUUGUCCGGAAUUACUGGGCGUAAAGAGCUCGUAGGUGGUUUGUCGCGUUGUUCGUGAAAACUCACAGCUCAACUGUGGGCGUGCGGGCGAUACGGGCAGACUUGAGUACUGCAGGGGAGACUGGAAUUCCUGGUGUAGCGGUGGAAUGCGCAGAUAUCAGGAGGAACACCGGUGGCGAAGGCGGGUCUCUGGGCCGAAAUUGACGCUGAGGAGCGAAAGCGUGGGGAGCAAACAGG
rnacentral:rRNA from 1 species